GGCACGUUUUCUUUCCGGACACAUCCAGUGGAUACUGUGCAGACCUUCUCCAGCUAAUCUCAGGAAGGCUGAAGUUUUUAGACGGCUACCCUUCAUAUUUAGGGAGAGAAUAUAACCAUGUGGAAAGUCUAGUCUUCAUGUGGAACAUCUGUUACGAAGAAAUUCUACUUGGAAAGCUUGUCUGCUCUAUUAACCCAUCCCUGUUGCUCACUUGGAAGAAGAGGGCCUUCACUUUCCACUGUAAGAAGAAGGUCUUCUGUUGCUCUGAACGCUUCUGUUUAGAGACCUUUCUUCACUGUCCCCAAGGGUAAGUAUGAAGGAGAGGGGAGGAAAGGUCUAGAACACACCAUGAAGCAGAUAACAGAUGGGUGACACUGCCUGUUCUUCCAGGAUGCUGGCACACCAUUUGCUGCCAUGUCCUUUCAUCAGAUGAAUGGGGGACAUUUGAUAGCAAAUGGACCCUUUAAUCUCUUCAUACUUGGCCUUCAUCUAGUGUGUAGAUUCUGCACAGAGUUUAUGCUGGAAUAAGAGAUCCAAGAUUCAAAUGGUUAGAUUACUCUUGGGUGAGCUUGUUGAGAAAUUCUGAGUUUUAUUUCCCAUUUUUUUAAAAAAUAAUAAACAAAUUUCCCAAGAUUUUUUAUAAUAAGCAAUCCCUACACUAACAAUACUUUCCUGGGAGCAAAUUAGUGGCUAUGAACAUUAACUUAUCCCACUGCUUUUGCUUGGUUUGUGUGUGGCUCUGGCUGGCCUCUUGCUCCAGGCUCCCAAGUGAGGGGCACACAGGUGAGCGCCACCCAGGCUUCAAUGUUUUCUAAAGACAAUAAUGAAGGAACGGAAGAACUUACUUCAGAAUCAUCCUUUCUUGUCUGAUUAAGCCAAAUUCUCAAACAAAACUGCCUGGACUUACUCGUAUUGCUUCAAAAAUUCACAGGCAACUUUUCUCUGACAGAGACGACUUGGUAGACUAAUGAGCUCCAGAUAGCCUGGUGGCCAGCAGGCUCCAAGGAUUCCGUCUAGCCCCACCUUGGGUUUCCUUUUUUAAUGAUGUCCAGAAUAGAUCCAUUCAUCUAUUUUUAAACUUUCUAAACUUAGCAAUAGGAAAACAGAGCUGGGAGCUGAAGCUAUAGGCUACUUUAUUACCCCAGUUAUUAGCCUGACAAAAAUAAGUGACUUUCCAUUAAACAGCAGUGACAGAGAAGGCGGAAGGUCUCAAGGUCAAUAACUCCUGUGAUACGGAUCCCCUAAAUGUAGCAUCUCUCCAGGGACUGUCGGAAUGAACCACUGACAAGCUAAUUGCUCGUAUUCCCUCAUUAAGCAAGCCUUGCUUCAUUAGUAGCUUGCCACAAUUGGACACCAUUUUCAAGGCUCUGAGAUCUACCCAUUGAUAAUUAGUGAGUGACUGAAAUGAAACCAGCCACUACUUGUUUGAUGAGAUUAAUGAGAUUAAUUGAGUAAUUAUUGUCUCAUCUAAAAUAAAAAAGCAAGGAAAUCCAGCUAUGAAUUCACUGUCAGUCUUUUCCUGGAAAAAUCUCCUCAGAGACACAUGAAAGCUUUCUAUUAAGAAGUAGACAUGAAUCUGAUCUGUUUACGAAGAAUCCCAACAUGGAAUUUAACAUGGAAUUUAUAAUUUAUUUAGUUUUUAACUAUUUUCAAUAAUGUACAUUGUUGUAUAUAUAUAUACUUAACAUCUGUAUAUAUCAUUUAAAAGAGUAGCCAUAUGUAUAGAGUUUGAGCAGGCAUCUGACAAAUUCUCCACACAUAUAUAACUUUGUAAAAACUAAUAGUUUUAGCAAAGUGUGCUUUGAAACUUUUGGCAAACAUAUCAGAACACCGUGUUUGGUUUAGUUUGACUUAAUAGCUAUGAUUUUUAAAAUUGUUCAACUGUUCUUUUUUAGUACUGAGUUUAAAAGACAAAAAUUUAUAUCAAGCUUCUCUGAAAAUUCUUUUCUGUGUAUCAUACAUAAUUAAGCACUCAUGUAAGUUUUUGAAGCUUCAAAAUUGGUCACUACGGACGGUCUAUGA
rnacentral:lncRNA from 1 species